CAGGGAGACAACAAAAUGUUAAAUAUUAAUUUUGUCACCUUAGGUCGAUCGGUACCUCACAUUCUUAAAUUUAUUAAGGAUUUUAUUUCCUAAGUUUUUUCUAGGUCACACCCAUCACUUUUCCUGGGCCAUUAGCUCAGGUGGUUAGAGCGCACCCCUGAUAAGGGUGAGGUCCCUGGUUCAAGUCCAGGAUGGCCCAUAUCUCUAUGUUGGGGGUAUAGCUCAGUUGGUAGAGCGCCUGCUUUGCAAGCAGGAUGUCAGCGGUUCGAGUCCGCUUACCUCCACUGAUUACCACCUCUUUCGUAAUCGAUUGAAAGGAAACUUGUUGCGAUGUGAUCUUACUUCUGAAUGAAUCUAGCUUCCUAAUGAAAUUACAAAGAUAAAUCAUUAAGAUGCUGGACUCAAUGAACAAUUAAUUUCAUUGUUUUCAGAGAACCUUGACAACUGCAUAGAUUAUUUUUAAAGACAAUAAGCAUCUUUAAUGAUGCAGAUUUAUUAUUUGUGCGAAUGCAUUAAUAACAAUUCUAUUAAGCUGAUGCUUCAAUUUUGAAGUUAUU
rnacentral:tRNA from 1 species